GUUACGCGCAGCCCCGCCCCCGCGGCCUCGUCGCUCCUGCUGAGGCGGUAGCCGCUUUUCGUCGACUCUUACCGGUUGGCUGGGCCAGCUGCGCCGCGGCUCACAGCUGACGAUGGGGGACCCCAGCAAGCAGGACAUCUUGACCAUCUUCAAGCGCCUCCGCUCGGUGCCCACUAACAAGGUGUGUUUUGAUUGUGGUGCCAAAAAUCCCAGCUGGGCAAGCAUAACCUAUGGAGUGUUCCUUUGCAUUGAUUGCUCAGGGUCCCACCGGUCACUUGGUGUUCACUUGAGUUUUAUUCGGUAAGUGAAUCUUCUCUCAUUGGGGUGAGAUUGAUUACAUUGUUACAUGGGUGUUUUUUUCCCUUUUUUCUUUUCUUUUUUUGAGACAGUGUCUUGCCUUGUCGCCUGUCACCUUGGCUGCAGGAGUGCCAUCAUAGCUCACUGGGCUCAAGUGAACUCAGCCUCUACAAAAAAUAAAAAAUGUUGUGGUGUGAUGAUGUAUAACUCUAGUCCUAGUUACUCAGGAGGCUGAAGUGGGAGGAUCACUUAAGCCCAGGAGUCAAGGCUGCAGUGAACUAUG
rnacentral:lncRNA from 10 species